rnacentral:rRNA from 1 species
GACGAACGCUGGCGGCGUGCUUAACACAUGCAAGUCGUACGGUAAGGCCCUUUCGGGGGUCCCCGAGUGGCGAACGGGUGAGUAACACGUGAGUAACCUGCCCACAACUUUGGGAUAACGCUAGGAAACUGGUGCUAAUACUGGAUAUGUGCUCCUGCUGCAUGGUGGGGGUUGGAAAGCUCCGGCGGUUGUGGAUGGGCUCGCGGCCUAUCAGCUUGUUGGUGGGGUAGUGGCCUACCAAGGCGGCGACGGGUAGCCGGCCUGAGAGGGUGACCGGCCACAUUGGGACUGAGAUACGGCCCAGACUCCUACGGGAGGCAGCAGGGGGGAAUAUUGCACAAUGGGCGCAAGCCUGAUGCAGCAACGCCGCGUGCGGGAUGACGGCCUUCGGGUUGUAAACCGCUUUCAGCAGGGACGAAGCUUUUUGUGACGGUACCUGCAGAAGAAGCACCGGCUAACUACGUG